rnacentral:lncRNA from 1 species
AUGCGUCCCCAAAGUAGGUUGACUUUCUGGGACUGCUUAAAGCGAUUCCUCCCGACAAAGGGAAGGGUAGUGCCUUCCUCAGUCUCUUGGGGCAUACUUCUUUCCGGAUCUGGCACAAACUACCCCGCAGGGCUUAAAGACAUGCUGAUGACAGAUGAUGAAGGUAUGCAUCUCUUAAUCAAGCUGCCUCACUUGCCCAUCUAAAGAGCUAUUUAAAAAACACAUCUAGCAGGUCUCAGCCGCCAAUAUUCACAUCUUAUUUACUCCUACAGUCACUUUUGAAAAAUCUAAAGAAAUUCUCAUUCAGGCUAUGACCUAAGGAGAGGGCAAGCUGAAAAUUCCCUCUGCAGGGCAAGGGCAUUUUUUUAGUUUAAAUUCAGUUGCUGAUGUUAUUAGCUGCUGUUCUGACCUUCCAGCCAACUUAAAGAUGGUUUAUGUUAACAUUGAAAAUGUCAACUCGUGUGGCCAGAGUGUUUUCUAAAUGAUGCUCUUUACAUGGUUCUUCAUUUGUUGGAUAAUAAUGACUAUUUUCUCCUUUGGCUUUAAAACUGAAGGAAUAUGGCUAGGUUUCCUUCUCUGUUUGCAAAUGGAGCCCCUGCCAUGUGUCUAGGCCUGGGCUGGGUUCUUUCUACCCCAUCCUAUUCCUCUGCCAAGAAAGCAAAGAUCAUAUUUCAAACAUAUUAUUUCCACCUUGAACAAAGUUGGUGGGAAUGUAAAUUUUGUGCAGCCACUGUGGAAAAGUAUAGAAGUUUCU